ACCAAUGCCAUCGACACUCCGCAUAAGUUUUGCCGUUGUCGACGUCGUCGUUGCCUGUCGGCGGUGUCGUAGGAGAGAAGCCGCAUUGAGGCGAGGGUUGAUGACUCAACGCGUAAUACAAAGAGAUGGCGCGCCGGCCCCGCCGUCAGAGACACUCGUUCUUUCCGACGUUCAACUCGAAACCGAUCACCACCGACAACUAUGUCCUGCGAAGACACCUGCAAGUUCCAGAAGAUGGUCCAGAUGGGUAAUGAGAUCAUGAAGGAGAUCGCCAAGAGCGAAGGUCUCAGCGAGGCUUCUACCCUCAAGGCCGAAGAGUUCUUCAAGAAGGCCUACGAGACCAUGAAGGAGAAGGGAGAGUGCCCCGACGACAAGACCGACGAAGAGAAGAAGAAGUUCAUCGAAGACUCGAUCGCUGCCAUCCAGGCUGAGAUCGAGGAAGGCGAACGCGAGCUCCUCGCCAAGGUCAUCAACCUGUCCGUCGUAAGAAGCUAUCCAGAAGAAGAAGGCUGAACUCGCU